GCGGCGGCAGGUCUCCGGGCUCCACUGCUCCACCUCAUCCAGGAGAGACGCGUCGCUCUGGGACAUGGUGACGGCUAACAGCGGCGGAGCUCAGCGCUGUCACGGAGAAAAAGACGUUUAAAACGACAGAAAAAAGUCAUGGAGCGGCUGGCACAAUGCAGCGGGUGUCAGUAUCUGCUGCUGAUCAGGGUCAAGGAGGAAAGAGUUCAUGGAGGUGUGAUAUCAGGAGGUCAGGCGUUCUGCCUGCUGUCUAGUUUUCAAUGUUUUACCUCUAAAUCCUUCAGGGAUUUGGUGAAAGUGCUGGAAGCUGUGCAGAAAAACAAGAUGUCAGCCUUUGCUGAGGAAAAGGCUUCAGGAAAAGGAUGUUGACUCUCGUACGCUUACAUAAACAUUCACUUUUAUGCUUAGUGGUUCUGUAAAUGCAUGUCAACAGCCAAUGAAAAAUCCAGGUUUUUCUUUUUUUUAAUGUAAAAAUAAAAUUUUUCCAUCCAAUUAGUGUAGAUGAGUUGCUAGGUAAAUAAAUGUAGUUUUUUCCAAUCAUCUUUGAGGCAAAUCCCCCUUAAUAAAAUCUGGUUUUGGUUUUCAUACGUUCUGAAAAGACUUUUUAAACUGUCCGCCAAACUGGAACAAAUUAAAUGGAUAAUUCUGCUUUAAUUUCCCCUGUAAGUCUGGAGUCUCCCCAUAGAUGGCGUACCGCAAAUAUAUUGACUGCAACCUGUGGCUCUUUUAUCCCUUUAUUGAGGCUCUGUAGUUCUGAAGAAAAAUGCUAAUUAUUCAAAUAUGUCAAAACACAGAGCUAAAUGAUGUCAGAAAUUCUGUAGAAAUGUUCCUUAAAUUUGUGUUUUUAUUGUCCACAAUUCUUAUAUUUUGGUAAAUUUAUCUAAAGUGUUUAAAGCUUGCAGUUUAAAACAAUUAAAAGUUAUCUAGAAAUAUUUGUUUUGUGCCUCACAUCUUAUUAAAAUACCACUAUUAAAAAAAUAGAACUUUUUACUACUGAACCGAAAGGGCUUUUUACUAAAGAGUUUUUAUUGGUACACACAAUAUUUGUUUUUGAAGAUCCAGUUUGAAAUUUAAGCCUUUGAGGCAGAAGGUUGAUCAGAAGCAGCUUUUAGCAUUUUAUAGUUUAUCUGUGAAAAUAUAAAACUGUUUAAAUCCUUUUGGUCCACAUAUUUUAUAAAAAAAAAAA